AACGAACGCUGGCGGCAGGCUUAACACAUGCAAGUCGAGCGCCCCGCAAGGGGAGCGGCAGACGGGUGAGUAACGCGUGGGAAUCUACCCAUCCCUACGGAAUAGCUCCGGGAAACUGGAAUUAAUACCGUAUACGCCCUACGGGGGAAAGAUUUAUCGGGGAUGGAUGAGCCCGCGUUGGAUUAGCUAGUUGGUGGGGUAAAGGCCUACCAAGGCGACGAUCCAUAGCUGGUCUGAGAGGAUGAUCAGCCACAUUGGGACUGAGACACGGCCCAAACUCCUACGGGAGGCAGCAGUGGGGAAUAUUGGACAAUGGGGGCAACCCUGAUCCAGCCAUGCCGCGUGAGUGAUGAAGGCCUUAGGGUUGUAAAGCUCUUUCACCGGGGAAGAUAAUGACGGUACCCGGAGAAGAAGCCCCGGCUAACUUCGUGCCAGCCGCCGCAGUAAAAC
rnacentral:rRNA from 1 species